rnacentral:rRNA from 1 species
AGUGAACGCUGGCGGUAGGCCUAACACAUGCAAGUCGAACGGCAGCACAGUAGGAGCUUGCUCUUACGGGUGGCGAGUGGCGGACGGGUGAGGAAUACAUCGGAAUCUACUUUUUCGUGGGGGAUAACGUAGGGAAACUUACGCUAAUACCGCAUACGACCUACGGGUGAAAGCAGGGGAUCUUCGGACCUUGCGCGAUUGAAUGAGCCGAUGUCGGAUUAGCUAGUUGGCGGGGUAAAGGCCCACCAAGGCGACGAUCCGUAGCUGGUCUGAGAGGAUGAUCAGCCACACUGGAACUGAGACACGGUCCAGACUCCUACGGGAGGCAGCAGUGGGGAAUAUUGGACAAUGGGCGCAAGCCUGAUCCAGCCAUACCGCGUGGGUGAAGAAGGCCUUCGGGUUGUAAAGCCCUUUUGUUGGGAAAGAAGAGCAGCAGGUUAAUACCCCGCUGUUCUGACGGUACCCAAAGAACAAGCACCGGCUAACUUCGUG